rnacentral:rRNA from 1 species
UACGUAGGGUGCGAGCGUUAAUCGGAAUUACUGGGCGUAAAGCGUGCGCAGGCGGUAAGUUAAGUCUGAUGUGAAAGCCCCGGGCUCAACCUGGGAAUGGCAUUGGAAACUGGCUUGCUGGAGUGUGGCAGAGGGGGGUGGAAUUCCGCGUGUAGCAGUGAAAUGCGUAGAGAUGCGGAGGAACACCGAUGGCGAAGGCAGCCCCCCUGGGCCAACACUGACGCUCAGGCACGAAAGCGUGGGGAGCAAACAGG